rnacentral:miRNA from 1 species
GGCGCGGAGGGAAUAGGACAGGCUCCGUGGGAGGGAGCGCAGAGCGGAGCGGAGCGGCGCGCGGAGCGGGUGGUGUGCAGGCGCGGCGUCUCGCUUCAGGGGUGACUGACUAGCAGCAGCGGCCUGGC